rnacentral:rRNA from 1 species
GACGAACGCUGGCGGCGUGCUUAACACAUGCAAGUCGAACGGAAAGGCCUGCUUUCCCUUGUGGAUUGCGGGUACUCGCGUGGCGAACGGGUGAGUAACACGUGAGUGAUCUGCCCCCAACUUGGGUAUAAGCCUGGGAAACUGGGUCUAAUUCCCGAUAGGACUGCAGGGUGGUGCCUGUGGUGGAAAACGAUUUUCUAGUGGUUGGGGAUGAGCUCGCGGCCUAUCAGCUUGUUGGUGGGGUAAUGGCCUACCAAGGCGGCGACGGGUAGCCGGCCUGGGAGGGUGGACGGCCACAUUGGGACUGAGAUACGGCCCAGACUCCUACGGGAGGCAGCAGUGGGGAAUAUUGCACAAUGGGCGGAAGCCUGAUGCAGCGACGCCGCGUGGGGGAUGACGGCCUUCGGGUUGUAAACUCCUUUCGACCGCGAGGAAGCCACCUGGUGGGAAGGGUGGUGACGGUAGUGGUAGAAGAAGCACCGGCUAACUACGU